AUCGGUGAGGGCCAUAUACCGCUUCCUGUUUCUCUGAGGGGUUUUUUCUGUUGGCCUCUUCGGUGAAACUGGUUCUCUAACGUCUUAGUUUAUCUUGCUGACACCUGCCUCAGUUUUCCUUUUAAACACGGACACUGCUCGACCCGCAACACCAAAGAUGGCGCCAGCCUAAGAGCAGUUAUUUUAUUUAGUUGUGUGAACGGAACGGGGAUGUUGCCUGCCUCAGGUCAGCAUCUUAACAGUUUACUAUCCAGAGGUCCAUCCCAGAUUUUCAAAUGAAAAUGGAGGAAAAGCCCCUCUCAGGCCCAGACAACACCAGGCUGGAGACUCUGGUACAGGACAUCUACUCUGAGCUGGUGGAAGAUGCCUGUUUGGGCCUGUGUUUCGAGGUGCAUCGUGCUGUGAAGCAGGGCUAUUUCUUCUUGGAUGAAACGGACCAAGAUAGCAUAAAGGAGUUUGAGAUUGUGGAUCAGCCAGGAGUGGACAUAUUUGGUCAGGUGUUUAAUCAGUGGAAGAAUAAAGAGUGUGAGUGUCCCAACUGCAAAAGGUUAAUAGCAGCUUCCCGCUUUGCUCCGCACCUGGAAAAAUGUCUAGGAAUGGGACGCAACAGCAGUCGCAUCGCCAACCUCAGGCUUGCUAGCAAUAACAACAUCAGCAAAUCUGAGAGCGAUCAGGAAGACAAUGAUGACCUUAACGACAAUGACUGGUCAUAUGGAGCUGAAAAGAAAUCUAAGAAGAGAAGAUCAGAUAAGAAUCAGAACUCCCCAAGAAGAUCCAAAUCUCUGAAACACAAGAACGGUGAGCUUGGGACCAGCAUCAGUUCAGAUCCCUACAAGCAGUACAACUACAACGCUGGCGUCAGUUAUGAAAGCUUGGGCCCAAAUGAAGUCAGAUUGCUGUUGACAACCCAAUGUGGGGUGAUCUCUGAGCACACCAAGAAGAUGUGCACAAGGUCUCACCGAUGUCCACAGCACACAGAUGAUCAGAGGAGGGCAAUCAGGCUGUACCUCCUGGGGCCGUCCGCGUGAGUGUGCCCCGCCCCCUUCCUCACUCAAAUCAAAGUGUGCUCAGAAGGAAACAUGUUGGAGUUUUAGUCCUUAAGUCCCUCAUAAGUCGGGGGGGUUAAAGAUGCAACCUGAUGACUAUCUUAGAAGCUCUUUUCUUGGUUUUGAGUUGAAAUGAGACAUUGACCAUUAGAAUAUUUGCAUCUAUCUACAAGUAUAUAUAUAUAUAUAUAUAUAUUUGCCAUUAAAGGGUUGACUGUUUAGUUUUAGGAAGCUGGUCAAGUCAUUAUUUGAUUGAACAUUUGAAUGAAUGCAAACCAUUUCCUCUGUAUUGAAGUUUUCAGACCUGAGUAAAUAGAAAAAAGCUGUGUGCAAAUGAUGGUUUUAAGUAUUUAAGGGAAAGCUUUAUAAACCAAGCUAAUCUUAAGGGUAAAAUAUUCUCUCCAACUCAACCUAAUAACUGGCUCUGCCACUUUAGGAGGCAAUGAUAGCUAUCUAGACUAAAAAGAGUGGGAGAGGUCACAAACCAGUCUGAUUCUGGCUGAUUCAGCCUACAACCAAAAAUGGGAAAAUCCAACACAGGAGUGGGAGUGAGGCUACGAGUGACACCAACAGCCAGAUGCUUGUCUGGACCUCUUGUUCGCCUGGUGGGUGGAGCUUAUCCCAUUUAAACUCCUGCCAGCCAAUCAGCUACAGGGGAGAACAAACAAUUGGUCCGGCUUUGUUGAUAAAAGAGAGACAGGACAGGCCACAGUGUGUUUAGAUAAAGCUCCUCCUACUUGGGAUUUACUCAUUCUACAGUUAGAGGAUCUGGGAAACAAUAAUGACACUCAAUCAAUUCAAUGCAAUUGUUUUUAACAAGAUUGGCAGUCUAUUUUCUACCAUGACCAGGUUGACUUGGGCUGGUUUAUUACCUUUUAGUAAAUGAAACCAUAAUUUAAAUACACUAAACGAGCUUGUCUUUGAUAUUAAAAUCAAUAUAAUCAGAAUUGGACAAAUUUGAGCUAUACAGGAGGAAUGUACCAGAGCAUAAAUACUUUUAAAACACUGUAGGCUUUAGUUAAUUAUUUUAGUUGGUUUUUUGCCAACCUUUUCCUUUUUGAGCAAAUGUAACCAGAGCCAAACCUAAUUUAAUCCAUCUAACUUUAAAUAUAAUAUCAAAGGCGUAAAGUACACCUUUGAGCAUCCAAAAAAGUAUAGCCUAAUAAACGAUUUUAAUCCUAUUGUUUAAAAUGUUACAUAUUUUUUUCUAAAACUCCCGUUGAACAGUGUUAUGACUGAUUAUCAUUAAAAAUUUCAUCUAUAAUAUUCCUUAAGUUUCCAACGAUGUGGAAAAAGUUUUGUUUGGUUUAACGAUUAAACAUAGUUUUUCUUAAAUCAAUUCUAAAACAAACUGAAUAAAAGAACCAAAAUUCAGCGCU